GACGAACGCUGGCGGCGUGCUUAACACAUGCAAGUCGAACGGAAAGGCCCUGCUUUUGUGGGGUGCUCGAGUGGCGAACGGGUGAGUAACACGUGAGUAACCUGCCCUUGACUUUGGGAUAACUUCAGGAAACUGGGGCUAAUACCGGAUAGGAGCUCCUGCUGCAUGGUGGGGGUUGGAAAGUUUCGGCGGUUGGGGAUGGACUCGCGGCUUAUCAGCUUGUUGGUGGGGUAGUGGCUUACCAAGGCUUUGACGGGUAGCCGGCCUGAGAGGGUGACCGGCCACAUGGGGACUGAGAUACGGACCAGACUCCUACGGGAGGCAGCAGUGGGGAAUAUUGCACAAUGGGCGGAAGCCUGAUGCAGCAACGUCGCGUGCGGGAUGACGGCCUUCGGGUUGUAAACCGCUUUCGCCUGUGACGAAGCGUGAGUGACGGUAAUGGGUAAAGAAGCACCGGCUAACUACGUG
rnacentral:rRNA from 1 species